GAAGGAAUCACAUGUUCGUGUGGCUUCACCAGUGUAGUGUUCCGUUGUUUAUCCCAGCAUGAUUAGUUUACUCAUAGGAGCUUGUUUGUAGUGAAUGGUUUUUUGAUCACGGAUAUAUAAUAACAUUUUGUAGCGAUCGUUGAUGUUGACAGUCACCUGAACAGAUUAGAUGCCCAGACGCACUUUCGCCGGUAAUAUGACUGAGGUUACUACAGCUUCAAGUCAUGGCACCGAUGGAGUGUCUGCUCAGCUGGAAUCACCUGAACGACCACUUCGCCGUUCCAGCCGUCUCGCCAACAGAAACAACCGAACGGGGAUUACCUGACCAACACUUAGAUCCAUUCGCCUUGAACCACUUGUUAUAUUUUUUUUUUCACUGUUGUAAC